rnacentral:lncRNA from 1 species
CUGGCAUCUUGUUUCACAAGGUUAAAUUUCACAUCAGCUAAAUUUGGUGUGCAUCGAUAACAGAGCUAAAUGAACUACCCCUAUAAAUAGAAACACUGGCAGUAGUAUUAGCUAUCACUGGCACCUACAAUGCAUGGCACUCGGUUUUCCUUCAUUUUUUUACAAUAUUAAUUGUCUUCCUUUCUGCAGAAUUGCUACCGGUUCUGUCAUGGAGUCAGUGGCAAUCAUCUUGAUAAAAUAGGAUUUCCUUGAGGCUGUCAAGAACUGCAAGCUGAAAGCUCUUGUUGCUGUAAGAAUCUUCUUGACAUUAUUCAAGACAAAACAGAGGUCCAGGUUGGUACAUUGUUUGUCAGACCAGGGAGAUAAUUUUCAGCUUCUUCUGAACAAAUUGUACUGCAAGAGGGGAAAGUAAUGUCCUCAAGGCUGCAUGUUGGCCGCAAUUAAUUGCCAUGUCCUUGGACCCAUAAAGCAGAAAGAUUAAUUAUCACUGAGUAGCUAGCAACCCCAAACACUGGAGAGGUAUUAUAGGAUAUUUUCUACAUUAGAAGACCUCUUCCCGCCAUUGCUGCUUUGCAUCCCUCACAUUUUUACACCCGGAUAAGCAUUUCUUCCAAGCAGGAAGUAACAAUUCGGCAAAAUAUAGCAAAAUGGCCAAAUAUGUCCCUCAAGUCUUUCUCUCCCACCCCUCUCUUUCUUUGCUGAAAUUUUCAUGGAACUGAGAUGUUGAGUACAUCCCAUCAGCGGAGCUGUAGGAAGCUGAUGCUAUAAAGAAUCCACUGUGUGCUCUGUGUGUGCUUUUAGAUUUAGUAGGGCCCAUUAUUACUAUGAGUGGAAUAAGAUGGAUGCACUAGAUCAGUGUUAAGGUGAUCAGAGCUGGUGCCAUGUGUAUCAUUUGCUCUGUGCUUCCACUAAAUAGUCAGCUAGUGCUUCCCUCCGUUUCUGUAUGUGGAAAGGGUAGUGAUGGAUAGCCUCUUGUCCACUGCCUUAGAGAGAAAAGUGUCCGGCUUUAAAAAACUGGCCUUUGGAGACCCAAUGAGAUUUUUUGUAUGAAGUACUUUCCUCUCUGCACACUUCUUGCUCCAAGAUCAACAUGAACGUUUAAGUUAGUGUAACAACAAAAGUACCAUUCUACAAUAAACAGUAUAUUUAAAGGAAUAAUUGCUCCCCAGUUAUCUCCCUAGGGAAUGUGAUCAGACACAGAGUCAGUGCUUUGAACAUUCAUUCUAUACAUCUGAAUAGAGCCUGCAGGUAGAGUCUACAACGCUACAAAUCUUAGAUUACACAUCAACCAAGGAGACACCUACAGCCAGAACUGUUCUGCAUUGAGGUCUGACUGCUUUCAAAUGAGACUUUUUUUGCAGCAGAGGAUU